rnacentral:rRNA from 1 species
AAGUCGUAACAAGGUUUCCGUAGGUGAACCUGCGGAAGGAUCAUUACCGAAUCUCUCUUCAUUGAGAAACCACUGUGAACUGUUCUUAGCAUGUGGGGUAACCUUGACAGGUUUUAAAGCAAUCUGCGUUGCGCCCCACGUGCGACCCUCUGUUGUUUUUUCAACGCACAUAUCUUACCAGUGUUUUCUGGUUGCCUCAGGUGCAACUGGAAGUAUGUCGAACCUAUGACAACUUCUAACGGUGGAUCUCUUGGCUCGUGCAUCGAUGAAGAACGUAGCCAGUUGCGAUAAGUAGUGUGAAUUGCAGAAUUCAGUGAAUCAUCGAAUCUUUGAACGCAAAUUGCGCUCCCUGGAUAUCCAGGGAGCAUGCCUGUCUGAGUGUCGUGUUAAACUCUACACACUUUGGUGUGGCUAGGGAGCUCAUGCGUUUCUCGCGCCUGUCUCUCCAUGUGUCUGACCCCGGCUGUUGUGCUUCGGUGCUGUGGUUGGGAAGGCUCAACUUGCUUCUGUCCUUCUCACACAGUGCUGGCACACUGCCAGUGGUUUCCUCUGGACGCCCUGUGCAUCCAAUUUCCAUCUUUGACCUCAGAUCAGACAAGACUACCCGCUGAAUUUAAGCAUAUCAAUA